GACGUAGGAGGCGAGCGUUUGUCCGGAUUCAUUGGGCGUAAAGAGCACGCAGGCGGUUUGGCAAGUCGGAUGUGAAAACCCGGAGCUCAACUCCGGACCUGCAUCCGAAACUGCCCGACUAGAGGUAGGUAGGGGAGAUCGGAAUUCCUGGUGGUAGCGGUGAAAAUGCGCAGAUAUCAGGAGGAACACCGGUGGCGAAGGCGGUGCUCUGGGGCCGGUACUGACGUGAGGAGCGAAAGCGUGGGUAGCAAACAGG
rnacentral:rRNA from 1 species